UUUUAAUUCUCUGAUCAGACUUGAAAAUUCUUUUCCAUGGAGAGAAGCUAUCUUGUGACUAAAAAAGAACGCUGUUUGUCUCUCAAUAUUUUUUGAUGAAUUUAUGUAAGAAGACUGUUAGAAAAAGAAGGUAGUAUAAACUUGGUUCUGCCUCAGCUGGGGCUCAGAGGAAUGGAGCCUGCUGUCUAUGGACUGAGAACUCUGAAGCUGUGAGCGCCAAAACAAAGACUGACCAUAUUUAAAAGAACAAGAAAGCAUGUUUGGAAAAGAAUAUCAAGAGUGUUGCCAGGAAAUUGCCCAGAGACUACUAUGUGGCUGAGUGCCAAGUAUCAGAGCCCGAUUACAGGAAGUGAAGACAUCUUACAACUGGGUUUCCUGGUACCAAAGUUUUCGACUCUUUUCUCUCUUCAGCCCUGCUAUUAUUUAUGAGAGAGGACGUCAUAAGAAAAAGGGCAUGCCAUUGAGUCAAGUUGGUCACAUGAGAACAGCCAUUUGGAAAUUCUAAAAUUGAUGGCAUAUAAAAAUAAUCUACAAAUCUUACAUUUGACAAUGAAACGCUAAUAGUCCUCUUACAUCCUUUUAAAGAAACUGCCAGCUGAAUGGAAUGCAUGUAAUGGUCACGUCACAUGCUGCUGCCCUCCUGCUCUGAUUGGAUCCUACACUCCAGAUGAGGACACGGAGCCAAAAGGAAGCUGAGUGACUUGCCUGAGAUGGCCGAAUCUGUGAGGAGCGGGAUUGAGGUUUGAAGCUAGACCUGUGGUUCCAGAGCCCUCACGGCUUCCUUUUCUUCUGAGACAAAAAAAUUUCCUAGGUCUUUGUAAAUCCUUCAUUAUCUCAUUGCUACUCUCAGAGAUUUUAUUUUUUUCUAUAUAAUUUGAAGUAUGUGUCCAAAGGAGAAAAGUAUAUUCCAGUUGUUUCUGAACAUACUUGGAGUUAUAUGGAAUUCACUUACAUGCACUUAGAGAUGCUAUGGCCAUCACUAAGGUUUCUGUUACUUUGUAGCCUUGUCUCCCAGAAUCUCCUAACCUCUCCAUUCCUUUGCAUAAACUGUGGAAAUAAAUGAAAAAACAUUCUCUUUUAUCA